GAUGAACGCUGACAGAAUGCUUAACACAUCAGCCAUUGAUUGGUGGCGGACGGGUGAGUAACGCGUAAAGAACUUGCCUCACAGCUAGGGACAACAUUUAUAAAUGAAUGCUACUACCUGAUACUGUGAGAGAGCUUUGCGUCUCAUUAGCUAGUUGGAGAGUUAACAGCUCACCAAGGCGAUGAUGGGUAGCCGGCCUGAGAGGGUGAACGGCCACAAGGGGACUGGGACACGGCCGUUGCUCAUAGGGGAGGCAGCAGUGGGGAAGAUGUGACAAUGGACCGAAGUCUGAUCGAGCAAUUCUGUGGGAACGAUGAAGUUUUCGGAAUGUAAAGUGCUUUCAGUGGGGAAGCGGUACCAACAGAAGAAGUGACGGCUAAAUACGUGCCAGCAGCCGCGGUAAUAC
rnacentral:rRNA from 1 species